rnacentral:rRNA from 1 species
GUGACCUCAAAUCAAGUAGGACUACCCGCUGAACUUAAGCAUAUCAAUAAGCGGAGGAAAAGAAACUAACAAGGAUUCCCCUAGUAACUGCGAGUGAAGCGGGAAAAGCUCAGAUUUAAAAUCUGGCGGCCUUUUUGCUGUCCGAGUUGUAAUCUAGAGAAGUGUUAUCCGCGCUGGACCGUGUACAAGUCUCCUGGAAUGGAGCAUCAUAGAGGGUGAGAAUCCCGUCUUUGACAUGGACUACCAGGGCUUUGUGAUGCGCUCUCAAAAGUCGAGUUGUUUGGGAAUGCAGCUCAAAAUGGGUGGUAAAUUGCAUCUAAAGCUAAAUAUUGACGAGAGACCGAUAGCGAACAAGUACCGU